GAGAGAGAGCAGAGAAUUGGAAACUUAACGGCAGAGUCUUGGGAACCCUCACAGUUAGGAGGGGGAAAAGAAGGUCAGUUCAACUGCUGAGAGAGAUGGCGAAGGUGGGGCCAUGGAAGGCGUGAGGAGACAGUUGAAAUUUCGUGAUGGUGGACGAAGAAGGCAGGAGACCAUGAUGAAGCCGUUGGAGCUUAGAAAGACCAAAAUAACUGUCCUAGGAUGAACAGCGACGGGGCUGGGAUUUCAGGCCAGGCAGCUUGACGGGAAUGCCCAGGCCGUCCAGCACUGAGCUCAGUUGCCAUCUUGCUUGGAGCA